GACAGAGAGAGGGAGGGAGUGACUAGUGACAGAGGGAGGGAUGGGGUGAAUAGUGACAGUCACCACCUCCUUCACUCUGUCACUGUGUCACCCCCUUCCUCACUCUGUCACUGUGUCACCCCUUCCUCACUCUGUCA